AGGACGAACGCUGGCGGCGUGCCUAAGACAUGCAAGUCGAACGGAGCCUUCGGGCUCAGUGGCGAACGGCGGAGUAAUACAUGAGCAACGUACCCUGAAGACUGGGAUAGUCAUUGGAAACGAUGGGUAAUACCAGAUGUGGCGGAAGAUCGGCAUCGGUCUUCCAUUAAAAGGUUUUCGCUUCAGGAGCGGCUCAUGGCCUAUCAGGUAGUUGGUGAGGUAAAGGCUCACCAAGCCGACGACGGGUAGCGGGUCUGAGAGGAUGAUCCGCUCGAGUGGGACUGAGACACGGCCCACACACCUACGGGUGGCAGCAGUUGGGAAUCUUGCACAAUGGGGAAACCCUGAUGCAGCGACGCCGCGUGGAGGACGAAGGGUCUAGGCUCGUAAACUCCUUUUAUCGGGAAAGACUUAGGACGGUACCCGAUGAAUAAGCACCGGCUAACUACGCGCCAGCAGCCGC
rnacentral:rRNA from 1 species